rnacentral:rRNA from 1 species
AUGAACGCUAGCUACAGGCUUAACACCUGCAAGUCGAGGGGAAACGACAUCGAAAGCUUGCUUUUGAUGGGCGUCGACCGGCGCACGGGUGAGUAACGCGUAUCCAACCUGCCCAUCACUUGGGAAUAACCUUGCGAAAGUAAGACUAAUACCCAAUGAUAUCCCACGAAGGCAUCGGAAUGGGAUUAAAGAUUUAUCGGUGAUGGAUGGGGAUGCGUCUGAUUAGCUUGUUGGCGGGGUAACGGCCCACCAAGGCAACGAUCAGUAGGGGUUCUGAGAGGAAGGUCCCCCACAUUGGAACUGAGACACGGUCCAAACUCCUACGGGAGGCAGCAGUGAGGAAUAUUGGUCAAUGGGCGAGAGCCUGAACCAGCCAAGUAGCGUGCAGGAAGACGGCCCUAUGGGUUGUAAACUGCUUUUAUAAGGGAAUAAAGUGGGUCACGUGUGACUUUUUGCAUGUACCUUAUGAAUAAGGACCGGCUAAUUCCGUG